GUAACUACCUUUCACCACAGCUCCACUGGCUGGUCAGGACAAGGAUGCUAUGUCAAAUCUAGUAAUGCUCACCAAACAGAGUGCACCUGCAAUCAUUUGACUCAUUUUGCUGUUCUUCUGGACACGUCAUCUGGUCCAGAGAGAGCCGGUAUAUCAGAGGAAGACGAAAAGGCCUUGGUAAUUCUCACAUACGUUGGGCUGACUCUGUCUGUCAUUGGGAUCUCAUUGACGAUAAUCAGCUAUGUCACGCUCACAGACAUAAGGGGACCUUUAUCUCAGACUCGAGUAAGUCUCGUCACCUCUCUUGGUGCAGGACAAGUCAUAUUUCUUGCUGGGAUUGGAGCAACUAAGAACAAG